rnacentral:rRNA from 2 species
CACGUAGGAGGCAAGCGUUAUUCGGAUUUACUGGGCGUAAAGCGCGUGCAGGCGGUUUGGAAAGUUGGAUGUGAAAGCUCCUGGCUCAACUGGGAGAGGUCGUUCAAAACUUCCAGACUUGAGAGUGGUAGAGGGAGGUGGAAUUCCGGGUGUAGUGGUGAAAUGCGUAGAUAUCCGGAGGAACACCAGUGGCGAAAGCGGCCUCCUGGACCACUUCUGACGCUCAGACGCGAAAGCUAGGGUAGCAAACGGGAUUAGAGACCCCGGUAGUCCUAGCUGUAAACGAUGUGAACUUGGCGUUGGUGGGUUUAAAUCCAUCAGUGCCGAAGCUAACGCGAUAAGUUCACCGCCUGGGGACUACGGCCGCAAGGUUAAA